rnacentral:rRNA from 1 species
CACGUAGGGUGCGAGCGUUGUCCGGAAUUAUUGGGCGUAAAGAGCUCGUAGGCGGUGUGUCGCGUCGGCCGUGAAAACCUGCAGCUUAACUGUGGGCUUGCGGUCGAUACGGGCAUCACUGGAGUUCGGCAGGGGAGACUGGAAUUCCUGGUGUAGCGGUGAAAUGCGCAGAUAUCAGGAGGAACACCGGUGGCGAAGGCGGUUCUCUGGGAAUGUCCUGACGCUGAGGAGCGAAAGUGUGGGGAGCGAACAGG